rnacentral:tRNA from 1 species
UCCCUGAUGGUCCAGUGGCUAAGACGUCUGGCUCCCAAUGCAGGAGCCCUGGUUUGAUUCCUGGUCUGGGAA